rnacentral:rRNA from 1 species
AUACGGAGGGUGCAAGCGUUACUCGGCAUCACUGGGCGUAAAGCGCGCGCAGGCGGGCUGAUAAGUUGGAUGUGAAAGCCUACGGCUCAACCGUAGAACUGCAUCCAAAACUGUCAGUCUAGAGUGUGGGAGAGGAAGAUGGAAUUAGUUGUGUAGGGGUAAAAUCCGUAGAGAUAACUAGGAAUACCAAAAGCGAAGGCAAUCUUCUGGAACACUACUGACGCUGAGGCGCGAAAGCGUGGGGAGCAAACAGGAUUAGAAACCCUAGUAGUCC